rnacentral:rRNA from 1 species
GAUGAACGCUGGCGGCGUGCCUAAUACAUGCAAGUCGAGCGAACGGACGAGAAGUUUGCUUCUCUGAUGUUAUCGGCGGACGGGUGAGUAACACGUGGUUAAACUAACUCUACGACUGGGAUACUUUCGGGAAACCGGAGCUACUACCGGAUAAUAUUUUGAACCGCAUGGUUCAAAAGUGAAAGACGGUCUUGCUGUCACUUAUAGAUGGACCCGCACUGCAUGAGCUAGUUGGUAAGGUAACGGCUUACCAAGGCAACGAUGCAUAGCCGACCUGAGAGGGUGAACGACUAGACUGGAACUGAGACACGUUCCAGACUCCGACGGGGGGCAGCAGUAGGGAAUCUUCCGCGAUGGACGAGAGCCUGACGGAGCAACGCCGCGUGAGUGAUGAAGGUCUUCGGAUCGGAGAACUCUGUUAUUAGGGAAGAACAUAUGUGUAAGUAACUGUGCACAUCUUGACGGUACCUAAUCAGAAAGCCACGGCUAACUACGUG